rnacentral:rRNA from 1 species
CCGAUAACUGGGGUGAAGUCGUAACAAGGUAGCCGUAUCGGAAGGUGCGGCUGGAUCACCUCCUUU